rnacentral:rRNA from 1 species
CCUACGGGAGGCAGCAGUAAGGAAUAUUGGUCAAUGGAGGCAACUCUGAACCAGCCAUGCCGCGUGCAGGAAGACAGCCCUAUGGGUCGUAAACUGCUUUUAUACGGGAAUAAACUUUGAUUCGUGGAUCAAGCUGAAUGUACCGUAAGAAUAAGGAUCGGCUAACUCCGUGCCAGUAGCCGCGGUAAUACGGAGGAUCCAAGCGUUAUCCGGAUUUAUUGGGUUUAAAGGGAGCGUAGGCGGCCUAUUAAGUCAGGGGUGAAAGACGGUGGCUCAACCAUCGCAGUGCCUUUGAUACUGAUGGGCUUGAAUAUAGUUGAGGUAGGCGGAAUGUGACAAGUAGCGGUGAAAUGCAUAGAUAUGUCACAGAACACCGAUUGCGAAGGCAGUUUACUAAGCUAUGAUUGACGCUGAGGCUCGAAAGCGUGGGGAUCAAACAGGAUUAGAUACCCUGGUAGUCCACGCCCUAAACGAUGAUAACUCGAUGUUGGCGAUAUACAGUCAGCGUCCAAGCGAAAGCGUUAAGUUAUCACCUGGGAGUACGCCCGCAGGGUGAACGUUAAGGAUUGACGG